ensembl:lncRNA
GGAUUAUAUGGGAUGUAAAUGGUGGAGCGUGUCGCACUAGAUGGGCUGUAAGACUGUGAAAUUAUAUCAGGUUUAGUGUGAUUUUAUAGCUCCUGAACAGAUGGAAGACAGUUCGUAAUAGCACUACCUGAGCGACUCCGUGCAUUCGUUGUUGCAUUGAGUCCAGCAGCAGCUGACGGGCCGCGACAUCUGUCCCUCCAUCAAACAUCCCAACAAUCACAUUAUGCAAUCUAUAGUCCUAUAAGCAGAUUCAGCAUCAUAUAGGCACCAUGUGAUUGCCUUGAGAUCCAUUAACCCCCCCAUGCACUUUUACUUCUUCCCAGCUUUCCAGAGGCUGUUGGGUUUAACGACUCUGAAGUGUGUGCACCAUCACGCAUCCUGCCGAAGGAGGAAAGAAGAAUGCUGAUGACCUGUUACGUUUUUAUGUCUUCCAUAAAUUACUCCAUUAGGAUCUCCAUAAAGUGCUGCAGAAGGCGGCUAGUGCAGAAAACAGCUAACAGCUGUUAGCCUCCAUUGAGCUUAUCUGCUGUUGUAAUUAGAUGCGGAGAACCAGCACGUUCACACUGUCAGAGCAUCAUGUGCUGCUGGUGUAGAGCGGUACUAUCUAUCUAUCUAUCUAUCUAUCUAUCUAUCUAUCUAUCUAUCUAUCUAUAUAUCUAUAUAUCUAUCUAUCUAUCAUCCUGUUGCUCUGUCUGUCGUUCCAUCACACUAUUUAUCACUCUCUCUCUAUUGUCCUGUCGCUCUACCGUUCCAUCAAUGUAUCUGUCGUUCUGUCACUCUAUCUGUCUCUGUUGUUCUGUUGCUCUACCAUUCCAUUGUUUUAUUAUUAUGUCGCCAAAUCCGCUGUUUGUACCUUUUUACAUUUUUCUGCCGCUCAAUCUGUCGCUCUGUCUCUAUCAUUCCAUCGCUGUAUCUGUCACUGUCUCUAUCAUUCUGUCGCUCUAUCAUUCCAUUGCUUUAUCUAUCAUUCUGUCACUCUUCAUUCUAUUGCUUUAUCUAUAAUUC